UUCCACAGAGCCAAGAAAGGGGUUCUUCUUUUGAACCCUAAAUCAUCAAAAUCAACCAAAUUCAUGGGGCAAAUCAAGUCUAAAUGGAAAACCAAGCUGAAAUUAGUGAUCACCAAGCCUAGGGGAUCACAAGUUCGACGCUUAACGAGCUAGGUGGAGGCUUGGGAAAGAAGCGGUCAAACGAAUCAAGUACGAGAAGAAAAGCGUAAACCGGAUGAGAGGUAAGUGAAACUUACACCUUUUAGUAGAAUAAAUGUUUAUUCUAUAAGUUGCAAAUACAAUAAGGAUAAUAUUCAAGAUAUGGUUCCCGACGCGAAAUAAUACGGGUCAGAACUAAUAUAAAUGGUAAAAACCAUGUUUAAUGGUAAAAGAGAUAAAACGGUAAAUUAGCCAUGAAAAGCUAAUUGUAAAAAUGGAAUUUUGAACGGUUACUAUAAGUAAGCCUAAAUGAAUAAAAAGAGUAAAACGGGUCAAAUGGUAAUGUGGAUACCAUUUGACAAAUAUCGACUAAUAAGCACUUGUCGAGUCUUAUGCUUACAGGAUGAAGCGGCUUAUGAAUUAGCGUUGCUAUGAAUUAGCAAAUUUUCGAGACAAGGUAUUAAAAUGGGUCAAUGUAUUGACCUGAGCCAGGUACACAUAAUUAUGUUGUAGUUAAAAGUGUUAUUUUGGUCAAUAAUUGGUGAGAGUCUUUCGUCGUAAAAUAAGAGAUUAGAAUUGGCCAAAAAGCCCUUAACGGGCGAACCGGGUAAACGACCGUUAGAGGUUGUUUAGAAACUUGUUUAUUGAUUAUGAAACCCUUAGAUACAUAUAAAAAGUGUAGGCAAAAACAUUCAUGGGUCGAAUGCCUAAAAAUGGGUCAUUUGGGUAAAAUGACUAGUCGAAGGGUAAAAAUUGGGAUUUUGGGUUCCUUACGUUAAAUCCACCACAAAAAUAGUUGUCGUGGAAAAUAACUAGUUAACUAGUAUGGAAAUGCGAGAUGCGAAAGGAAAAUAGCGAGUUGGAUGCUUAAUGCUUAAAAGUCCACUAAAUGGGUCAAAAUAAAUUAGGAAGUUAAAUGUGGAUAAAGUGAUUUGAAAGAUACACCUAAAUCAGUGAAUGUAAGUGCAUACGCGAACCCCGUAAUGGGAGUGAAAACGCUAUUGCUUGAUAAGCCCGGGAUGGGAAGGAAAUGUUAGAAACGACUCUUAAUAACAUUCUUGCAAUGUAAUUUAAAAUGGGUCGAUUAAUAGGAAAAGGGAUUUAUAGACUAGUUGCCUAUAAACCGGUUUUAAUACGAAUAAUGAUGGUAAACGGGUCCGUAUUUUAAUUACGGACACGUAGGAAAAAGAAUCGUGUAAAACGGACAUCUAGAUUAAAAGUUAUGCUAACUAGAAGUUGGAUAUUAGUUAAAAUAUAAUUGGGCAUAUAUGCAGCUGAAAGAGAGCAACAUUCUGUCAAAAUGAUGGGGUCACGCUGCGCGACGGCCAAGCUGAAACAUAGUCGUGGCACGCGACAACCAUCGCGGCACGCGACGGAUUUAGAGAACCCCGUCGCGGCACGCGACAAGGGUGAUUCCUGCAGAUUUUGUUUGUUUUGUUUAAUUGGCUCAAGGAACUUGACGAAACAUGUUCUAAAUUUAUCAAAACUAACGUUUGAGUUGGUUUUGAUUACAGGUGAAUGAUGUCAGCCUUCCGGGUGAAGAUCAAGCGUCUAACAAGAACCGAACACACGAGAUUAAAGUUUCCGCAUGUUGUUUCGUCGUCAUUUAAACGACGAGCUCAAAUAUAUUAUGUUGUAAUAUUUUAAACUGUAAAAGUUUUAGUAAACCUGUAUUUUUCAAUGUAUAUGUAAUCAUAAUCACACAUAAAUUUUCGUUAUUAGUACAAAAACCCUUUUUAUUA